ensembl:lncRNA
GGGUUUGACGACGUUUUAUCUCAUAAUUUCGACUUUCUACCCCCUUUCUUCAGUGCGGAAAUGGGCUUCUAUGGUUGUGUGAACGCAUCGCUCCAGCCGAUCCAAAGAAGGGGUUUGUAACCAAUCAGGUGUGGAGACCAUGGUGACCGGCUCCGCCCCCUGGCGACUGGCUCCGCCCCCUUACUGUCAAAAAGAACAACAGCGACGCGCAGAAGACACCCUUCGAGCGCGAGCGGGGAUUAACCUCGCCAGCUACCAAGUUCACGUUCCGCCUGCGGGCAAAUAUCUCGCGCGAGACGGACGUUUGAUUGAGCCGCGCGCAUUAAUUCGUAGACGUCGUUCAGCGCCGUCCGUCACCUCGCUCUCCAUCUGUCUCGCCGCGGCUGAUCCCCGUGCUGUAGGUGAGGAGCCUGCAUGGGGUAGUUUGUCUUCCAACUCCCGUCUGGUCUGCAAAGCCGGCCAGAACUUGCUCCUGGGCCUGGACGAGGAGGACGGAUUGGGGGGAAACGGGAAACCUCUCCAGUGACCACCAGGGGGACUUUUCAUUGCAUAGAAGUCUACGGGGAAAUGACGCUUCUUCUCUCUGGAUUUACUCCCUCAGUAAACAUCGUAAACGUGAGUUCAUGGUCUCAGUCUCUAGUUCCAGGUCUUCUUCAACACAGCGUGAUGUCCAUUUAGUGAACGAAGGUCCAUUUAGAGUCAAACAGACCAUAAAAGCAGGGGACGCUUUAGGGGCGGGACAACCUGUGAGUGACAGAGACACAAACGUUGUCACUACAUCACGGCUCAGUUCAAACAUGGUGGAACACCAAACCCGAGCCUACGUCCACUUCUACGUCCACGUCUUACACACAGUGUGUGGUGGCAUUCAGCCUGUGGGCUGAUCUGAUAAGCGGCGCUGGGGG